UUGUUGUUUGAAUGCCCGAUUUUUUUUUAUCUGUAAACACUUGGAAAUUAAUGCAUCUGUCGAAAUUCGAUUACGCAUAUUUUCCACUCAUGUUUAAUGUAUUUACCAAACGACGAUAUUAGCUUAUGUAGUUUCUCAAAGUACCUAUAUAGACAAUAUAAUAACAGUGGGGCCUGUAUAAAAAUCAUUUAAAUAAUUCGUGUACAAUGUUUUUUUUUUACAUAUUUUAUGCUGACUCAAAAUCGUCAAGAAUUGAAUUUCUGACAAUUAUGUACUAAACGUCUUCGUGUACGGUGAUAGUUGUCGCCGAGAUUGUGGUUUAAAAUUUUUCUAAAAACAUUCUUCAAGUAUAGAGUCGUCAUAAGUGUACGUUAGAAUCAUUUUAUUAUAUUAUGUGUAUUGACUACUUACCAACACCUACGUUUUCAAGUUAAUAAAGAAAUAAUAAAAAUGGACAAUUUUCGGCAACGAUUAUGUUUUUCUUCGCCUACAAUAUCAGAUAUUUCAUUGGAUCGAGAACGAAAUAAUGAUGUUGAAGAUUUAAUGGUAUUUUUUGGUACUGACAAAAUAGGAAAUAUGAUUAUAUUAUGCGUUAAUCAAAAUUAUAAUUUAAAACAAUCUAACUCUUUAAUACACAUCCGAGAUCCUACCGGACUAGAAUUCACAAAUCAAGAAACGGAUAGAGGAUCUUAUGAAUUUUCUAGUUGGAAAACACCCAGUCUUCAAUUUCAAUGUACAGUGCCUAUGCGAACAUGGAGAAUUGUAUUCAGUGGUCGUCUAAGAAAUGGUGAGAACUAUUGUCACGUGAAGAUAAAUUUCUUAUGGAAGCCAUUCGGAUUUCCAGUGUACUGCGAUAAAAAUAAUACGUUUUUCAAACAUGAAAUCGACCUUACAGAUCCGGACUACAUCGACAAUUUAUUGGGAUUUGAUCAGUUUGGUCAAAUUACCGGUUCGAUGUUCGUAGAUGGUAAAACAGAAAUGAUUAACAUGCGAGCAAUGAAAUUAAGACGGUGGAAUAUGUCAGUCGAAGACUCUGCGUUUGUUGGAUUUAUGAACAGUGAUAUAAUGUGUUCCGUACAGAAAUUAGAAAGGAUAAACUUCCGUGGCCAUUUAAAAACGUCUUCAGAACACGAAAUACUCCCACCUGAUGGAAUAGAUUUCGUAAGUGAAGAAAACGACAAUAAGACAAUUGAAAUACAUCAUAAAAAUUUCAGUUUAAAUGCAAGUUUAAAAAGCCAAGUGACUGUCAUUUUAAAUACUGUAUCAAUUGAAAUCGUUCUUGGAGACGACUUUAAAGGAAUACUUCUAUGUUUCAAAGAUGUAUAUAAAACUGACAAGAUAGUAAAAUUUGCAGAAGACAUUUCUGUAAACGAUCAUAAAAUUGGCUUGACCGUAAACUUAGCCUCGGUGAUGUGCAUGUCCAGCAAUAUAGUAGGGAACAAAGCAAAAUCUUUGUUCCAAUUAAAAAAAGCAAUCGUUGAUGGUCUGAUUAACGACAUUAUUGUCCCGGACGGUAUAUGCAUAACGACAGUAGCGAUGAGAACUCAUAUAAACGAAAAUAAAAAAUUGUCGAUCGAUUUAAACAACGCGAUCGAAAAAGCAAAGCAGAGCGAUUUCGAACAGAUGGCGGUUUACUGUAAACGGUUGAACGAUCAGUGGCGGUCGACUAAACUGUGCGCUGAGUUGCUAGAGGCGAUUUCGAACGGCGUAAACGAACACCAUGUGUACGCCGUACGUUCGUCUGGAACGUUCGAGGACGGCGAAUCUACGUCCUCUGCCGGCCAAUACGUCACAAUUCUAGGCUGUACCGGUGGUACUUGUAACAUCGGGGAGGCCGUUAUAGAAUGUUGGUCGUCAAAUUUCUCGGCGCGAGCUUUGACAUACCGAAAGAACAACGGACAGCCGUUGAUGUGUGACAUGGCCGUGAUCGUACAAGAACAAGUGAGCGGUCCAGGUGUGGCCGGAGUCGCGUUCUCCAGAGACCCGAAUACCGGCGAUCCCGGGAAGAUCACCGUAGCCGCGAGUUAUGGUCUGGAAAAAGCGGGCGUUGUGUCAGGAUCAGUCGAACCCCACGAGGUUGUUGUUUCUAGACUGCAGUUCGAGGCAGUCGAUGACAAUGUCACUACGUCUGCGGGACUUCUGCAGGCAACAUCAAAUUUUAGAGUUGAAAAUGACAAUGAUGAGAAACCGCUGCAGUGUAUUUCCAAUAAUUUGGCGAAAAAGUUGGCUGACAUCUGCGUCCGAGUGGAAGGCGUAUUUGGUUCGCCGCAGGACAUUGAGUGGGUGGCUGUAGAGGAUCGAGUUUACCUUCUCCAGUCGAGACCGAUCACGUCCAUAUUCGCUUGGAGUAACGACGAAAUCACGCGAGAAUUUGACUCGCCAUUUACGAGCGACGACGUGGUUAUGUUUUACAACGUAAAAGAAGUCUACCCCAACCCUAUGCACACUUUAUCGUUGACUUUGGAUUUCUUUUCAACGUACCCACUGUUUAAAUUGACCGAAGGAGAGCCCACUGAAAUCUACCGCAACAAACAGUUGUCCUACACGCACAACAAUAUGUGUCUUAACGUAUGUCAAGUAGAUGUUUCAAGAUUUAGAACCUGGCAGCGUAUACGUUAAGAUAAUCGAGUACUCGAUAGCCGGCCAAUGUUUCUUAACAAGUGAUAUAUGGGAGAAAAUAUUAUUAAAGAAUCGCAGUUCUACGUUAAAAAAAAUUUUAAAAUCUUUUUCUACAUUUAAGGAAACACUAUACCUUGAAUGGCGAUUAAACGAGACACACAAAUUGAUUUCUAAUGCAAACAUAGAACAUUCAGGCACGGCGUUGGAUCUUUUGAAUAAUAUCAAUAGCGUUGUAGAUGUUUUAGAAAAGGU
rnacentral:misc_RNA from 1 species